rnacentral:rRNA from 1 species
UACGGAGGGGGCGAGCGUUAUUCGGAAUUAUUGGGCGUAAAGGGCGCGUAGGCGGCUUGAUAAGUCAAAGGUGAAAUCCCUCGGCUCAACUGAGGAACUGCCUUUGAAACUGUCAGGCUUGAGGCCGGGAGGGGGUAGCGGAAUUCCCAGUGUAGCGGUGAAAUGCGUAGAUAUUGGGAGGAACACCGGUGGCGAAGGCGGCUACCUGGACCGGUUCUGACGCUGAUGCGCGAAAGCGUGGGUAGCAAACAGG